rnacentral:rRNA from 1 species
AUUGAACGCUGGCGGCAUGCUUUACACAUGCAAGUCGAACGGUAACAGGCCGCAAGGUGCUGACGAGUGGCGAACGGGUGAGUAAUGCAUCGGAACGUGCCCAGUCGUGGGGGAUAACGCAGCGAAAGCUGCGCUAAUACCGCAUACGAUCUGUGGAUGAAAGCGGGGGACCGUAAGGCCUCGCGCGAUUGGAGCGGCCGAUGUCAGAUUAGGUAGUUGGUGGGGUAAAGGCUCACCAAGCCGACGAUCUGUAGCUGGUCUGAGAGGACGACCAGCCACACUGGGACUGAGACACGGCCCAGACUCCUACGGGAGGCAGCAGUGGGGAAUUUUGGACAAUGGGGGCAACCCUGAUUCAGCAAUGCCGCGUGCAGGAAGAAGGCCUUCGGGUUGUAAACUGCUUUUGUACGGAACGAAAAGGCUCUGGUUAAUACCCGGAGCUAAUGACGGUACCGUAAGAAUAAGCACCGGCUAACUACGUGCCAGCAGCCGCAGUAAGAC